AAUAUAGAUUGUAGUGAUGAUAUUUUGAGUAGGAAUCUCAUUGAGCUUCAGUCAUGCGUUGCUUUGAAAUUAAAAUUGUCUCCCACUGAUCUUAAAAUU